UUUAACGAAAAAAAACAGUCAAGAUGCUAACAAAGUAACAUAUCAAUAAAGUUUCUUUGAAAAUGAGUCCGCGCAUGCGCAUUGAUGUUAUACCGGCGUACAGUUAGAAAAGGGGGCGGGAGCUAGCAGCCUGGCUGCCUGUUGCCCGGAAGAGGACGAGAACUAUCCUAAGUUGUUGCCGCGUCGUCUUUGUCUGAACGAAUAGGACAGCCUCCGCUAAAAAAAAAAAAAAACUUAUAACGGAAUGUGUAAACAUUAUAAAUAUAUUCUUGUUAGUUAUAUUCUUGUUAUAUUCAGUUUUCACAUUGAGGACGCGUUGCGUGACGUCACUCGCGGCGUGCGGGUGCCCUGCACGUGCGGCACAAACUAGCAAACAAUUACGCAAUCAUACAAAAAAAACCAACAACAUAUUCCGCUUUUUUCUUCCUGUCAGAGCGGUCUUACCUGCCGAACCACCCGCAAUGAUCUGGUGGGAAGCCUCCCGGACGAUGCCGCGCGGCUUGGGGAUAGCCAUGAUGUCUUUUAAAGCUGCUCUGCCAAAGUAAACAGGCCGGGUUAGUUAGCUAGCUAGCUAGCUAGCCAGCUAGCAAGGACUCCCUCGCAGUGACGUCACAACUAAGUGGAUGUGCGUGGAUUCUUCCCUUGCUUCUUGGUUCACUCCCCCCCCCCCCCCACACACACCCACGAGCAAGGGCGCAGCUGAUGUGUGCACACAGGGGCCGCUUUGGAAUCGAUUACCAGAACUGCCGCAGCUGAGCGCCACUGCAAUGUUUGCACCACGUCAAGGUUGAGCUCCGGGUGCGCCAGGCACACCUGAAGGGCGUUCUGGGCCAGCGAGGUGUGGUAGUCCACGGAGGGAGACUCCACCAGGACGUUGAUGAAGAGCUGGCAAGACUGCAAGAAGGGAGACGUUAUACAAAAGAUGUCCAGCAGGGGGCGGCAGACGUCCGCUAUUACAGGCAGAGGACUUCUUUUAGUGGCCGCAAGGGGGCUCUGUUCAGCAGCUUAGCGUUAAGACGUCCCGUUUGAGCAAACCUUCUAUUUGGAGGGUCCUUAUUUCAGA